CGCCUAGAUCUGGCGGAGGAAUCAGCCAGCGAGUCAAAGGUGUGGUUCUCGUCCGAUGGCGCGUGGACUGCGUUGGUGGAAUGGAAUGGAAUGGAUUUUUUUGCCUUGGGGGAAGAGGCGCCUCACAGCGGCUUGUGUAUCCGUCGGGGCGGUGAUGAUUGGGGGGACGAGAUGGCGAGGAUGCGGCGGAGGAGGGGGAGAUGCAACGGAGGCGGCUCCGCCGGCGGCGGCGGCGGAGGCGGUGGUUUGGCCCUUGGGAGG
rnacentral:lncRNA from 1 species